rnacentral:tRNA from 1 species
AGCAAAGUAGUUUAAGAAGAAUAUUAGGUUGUGGUUCUGAUGGAGGAUAGUAUCCCUUUGUUU